GGCGUGCCUAAUACAUGCAAGUCGAGCGAACAGAUAAGGAGCUUGCUCCUUUGACGUUAGCGGCGGACGGGUGAGUAACACGUGGGUAACCUACCUAUAAGACUGGGAUAACUUCGGGAAACCGGAGCUAAUACCGGAUAACAUUUGGAACCGCAUGGUUCUAAAGUGAAAGAUGGUUUUGCUAUCACUUAUAGAUGGACCCGCGCCGUAUUAGCUAGUUGGUAAGGUAACGGCUUACCAAGGCAACGAUACGUAGCCGACCUGAGAGGGUGAUCGGCCACACUGGAACUGAGACACGGUCCAGACUCCUACGGGAGGCAGCAGUAGGGAAUCUUCCGCAAUGGGCGAAAGCCUGACGGAGCAACGCCGCGUGAGUGAUGAAGGGUUUCGGCUCGUAAAACUCUGUUAUUAGGGAAGAACAAAUGUGUAAGUAACUGUGCACGUCUUGACGGUACCUAAUCAGAAAGCCACGGCUAACUACGUGCCAGCAGCCGCGGUAAUACGUAGGUGGCAAGCGUUAUCCGGAAUUAUUGGGCGUAAAGCGCGCGUAGGCGGUUUCUUAAGUCUGAUGUGAAAGCCCACGGCUCAACCGUGGAGGGUCAUUGGAAACUGGGAAACUUGAGUGCAGAAGAGGAAAGUGGAAUUCCAUGUGUAGCGGUGAAAUGCGCAGAGAUAUGGAGGAACACCAGUGGCGAAGGCGACUUUCUGGUCUGUAACUGACGCUGAUGUGCGAAAGCGUGGGGAUCAAACAGGAUUAGAUACCCUGGUAGUCCACGCCGUAAACGAUGAGUGCUAAGUGUUAGGGGGUUUCCGCCCCUUAGUGCUGCAGCUAACGCAUUAAGCACUCCGCCUGGGGAGUACGACCGCAAGGUUGAAACUCAAAGGAAUUGACGGGGACCCGCACAAGCGGUGGAGCAUGUGGUUUAAUUCGAAGCAACGCGAAGAACCUUACCAAAUCUUGACAUCCUUUGAAAACUCUAGAGAUAGAGCCUUCCCCUUCGGGGGACAAAGUGACAGGUGGUGCAUGGUUGUCGUCAGCUCGUGUCGUGAGAUGUUGGGUUAAGUCCCGCAACGAGCGCAACCCUUAAGCUUAGUUGCCAUCAUUAAGUUGGGCACUCUAGGUUGACUGCCGGUGACAAACCGGAGGAAGGUGGGGAUGACGUCAAAUCAUCAUGCCCCUUAUGAUUUGGGCUACACACGUGCUACAAUGGACAAUACAAAGGGCAGCUAAACCGCGAGGUCAUGCAAAUCCCAUAAAGUUGUUCUCAGUUCGGAUUGUAGUCUGCAACUCGACUACAUGAAGCUGGAAUCGCUAGUAAUCGUAGAUCAGCAUGCUACGGUGAAUACGUUCCCGGGUCUUGUACACACCGCCCGUCACACCACGAGAGUUUGUAACACCCGAAGCCGGUGGAGUAACCAUUUAUGGAGCUAGCCGUCGAAGGUG
rnacentral:rRNA from 1 species